rnacentral:rRNA from 1 species
GACGAACGCUGGCGGCGUGCUUAACACAUGCAAGUCGAACGAUGAUGCCCAGCUUGCUGGGCGGAUUAGUGGCGAACGGGUGAGUAACACGUGAGUAACCUGCCCUUGACUUCGGGAUAACUCCGGGAAACCGGGGCUAAUACCGGAUAUGAGCCGUCCUCGCAUGGGGGUGGUUGGAAAGUUUUUCGGUCAGGGAUGGGCUCGCGGCCUAUCAGCUUGUUGGUGGGGUGAUGGCCUACCAAGGCGACGACGGGUAGCCGGCCUGAGAGGGCGACCGGCCACACUGGGACUGAGACACGGCCCAGACUCCUACGGGAGGCAGCAGUGGGGAAUAUUGCACAAUGGGCGAAAGCCUGAUGCAGCGACGCCGCGUGAGGGAUGAAGGCCUUCGGGUUGUAAACCUCUUUCAGCAGGGAAGAAGCGCAAGUGACGGUACCUGCAGAAGAAGCGCCGGCUAACUACGUGCCAGCAGCCGCGGUAAUACGUAGGGCGCAAGCGUUGUCCGGAAUUAUUGGGCGUAAAGAGCUCGUAGGCGGUUUGUCGCGUCUGGUGUGAAAACUCGAGGCUCAACCUCGAGCUUGCAUCGGGUACGGGCAGACUAGAGUGCGGUAGGGGAGACUGGAAUUCCUGGUGUAGCGGUGGAAUGCGCAGAUAUCAGGAGGAACACCGAUGGCGAAGGCAGGUCUCUGGGCCGCAACUGACGCUGAGGAGCGAAAGCAUGGGGGAGCGAACAGG